GACGAACGCUGGCGGCGUGCUUAAUACAUGCAAGUCGAGCGGACGGACGCGACGCUUGCUUGGCUGUUGUGUGGGGAGGGCGGGAGUGUAACGCGAGGAAACUGCCCCUAAAAUACGGGGAUCACCUCGGGAAUCGGGCGCUAACAGCGGAUAAUCUUCUGAUCCGUGUGGUGCAAAAGUAAAAGACGGUGUUGUCGGCGGUUGUGGAUGGAUAUGAGGUUUAUUAGCUAGUUGGUGGGGUAAUGGCUUACCAAGGCUACGACGGGUGGCCGGCCUGAGAGGGUGAACGGCCACAUUGGGCCUGAGAUACGGACCAGACUGCUACGGGCGGCAGCAGUGGGGAAUAUUGCACAAUGGGGGGAAGCCUGAUGCAGCAACGCCGCGUGCGGGAUGCCGGGUUUCGGGUUGUAAACCGCUUUCGCCUGUGACGAAGAGUGAGUGACGGUAAUGAGUAAAGAAGCACCGGCUAACUACGUG
rnacentral:rRNA from 1 species